CCGCUGUCACGGGCGCCAGCUCACGCCGAGGGCCAGCGCGGCCGCUUUGCGGUGCCCGGUGGAGCCCCGGUGCGCCGUAGGGCCUGUCGCUUUAACAAACCCAGGGUCUGCUCCGAUGGAGAUGGCCACGUGAUAAGUGACUCUAUUAUUGAUUUCACAAAACACCUCCUUGCAAAUAUUUGAUGGCUCAGGAAGAAUUCUAAUUAAAUUAAAUAAUAAAAUUAUCAUAAAAGCAAUGUAAAUUCUAACAACUUUUAAAAAUCACUUUAUGAACUGAGUCCAUAGAAUCAAGACUGUUUUCCAAUGGACUUACGCCAAGAGCAUGUGAAUGGGGGUUUCAUGUUUAGGACGUAAACAGGAUUGUACCCGAGGGAAAAGGAUACAAAUAGAAGAUUUUCUUCAUCUCACUUUACCCUGGGUUGUGCACGUCUGCUUCCAGUACAGAGGGCUUGCUGAGAGGGGCAGGGGAAGGCAGAGUAGUGAUUACUGCUUAUCCCAGACCCAGUUUAGGCAAAAUCACCCUAGAGCAGUGGUUCUGAACUUGGGAUGCACUUUACAAUUGCCUGGGAGCUUUAAAAACAUAGAUGCUUGUGUUCCACCCAAACAAAUAGAAUCACAGCCUCUAGCCUGCGCACUCGUGUUUAUUGUGAGCUCUCCUGGGAAUUCCAGCUUAAGCAGCACAUCUGAUGUGAGGACCGCUGCUCCAAAAUUCAUUGUCUGAAAGGUGAGUUAGUUCUCACUAGAAAUGGAAAACUACCUGGUAUUCCUUAUUUGUUUAGAAACAAUGGUGGUGUCAGGGUUUAAAGUUACGGAUUCAAAGAAGAAAAAAAAAUGUAUGGGAAGUGCCAGGCAUGAGUUCUUAACCUGAGGUCCCUGAGAUCAUACAGGUUCUGUAAGCCCCUGAAAUUGUGCCAAGUUUUGAGCUUAUCUCUACAUUUGGUGGAUGGGGAGAGAGGGGUAAAGAUUCAUCCAUUUCAGAAGAUUCUCAGAAGAAGCCACAAAGGGAAAAACCACCUCCCUGAAAUUCAUACCCACACAAAGAUGCACAGUUUUUAAGAAAAACAUCCUACAGGUGGGAGGGUCUUGAGUGCUUCCCCAAACGUUCACUUUUCUUCUGUUUCUCCCGUAUUCCCUGAUUACUCUGGUCUGGUCACCAUUUCCUGGUUCCCAGGGGACUGCAGCAGCUCCCAUCUGUAGUCCUGACCCAGAGAAAGCCAUCUUUCUUUGGGACACCUCAACAUAGCUGAGUGGGUUUGAUCUUCUCAAAACUACAAACGAUGAAGUAGAACAGACAAUCAAGAUGAGCCAACAUGAAGGAAAUCAUGACAAGAUACAUCAGACUCAAGGGUCCCAUGGAGCGUCUUCUAAUUAUUAUCAUGCUCCAGCUCCAAAUGUCUGUUCCACUUCCCAGAUAUCUUUACUGGCUUCUUUCGAACCUGCCAUCUCCACUUGGCUGGGACUGUCUUAGUUCUGGCUACACGGCAACCUUCUCAUGAGCCCAAAGUCUCUGGUAUCAUUGCCACUUAGAGACUCUGGUAUCAUUUCUGAAAUGAGGGACAUCUUCAUGCCUUCAGCACCCCCAAUCUCAGUCUGUUUUCAAAGCAGGAAUGGCAAAUAUUGAUAGGUUUGAACUCACAUUCUCAAUCCCACCAAUCGAUAAAAGUGUCCUCGGGCUUCCCUGGUGGCGCAGUGGUUGAGAGUCUGCCUGCCGAUGCAGGGGACAUGGGUUCGUGCCCCGGUCCGGGAAGAUCCCACAUGCUGCAGAGCGGCUGGGCCCGUGAGCCAUGGCCGCUGAGCCUGCGCGUCCGGAGCCUGUGCUCUGCAAUGGGAGAGGCCGCAGCAGUGAGAGGCCUGCAUACCACAAAAAAAAAAAAAAAAAGUGUCCUCACAGAACUUCUUAAACUGAAACGCUCAUGUGUAUUCUGUGGACAUCUUGCUAAAAUGCAGAUUCUGAUUCCCUUUGAGAACCACUGUGAGUAGCAAGGUUCUGGAGGGUUCUGUUGAGAAUGACUCAGUGGCUGGGAUCCUCUGGCCACACACAAUUGCCAGAGGGUCGGGGAGGGGGUGGCAGAGCCCUGAGGUACCCUGAAUUUGACAGAUGAGAUAACAGCUCUUUGUUCAGAUUAGCAGCCCUGCUCCUGCCUGGAGUGCUCUGUGGCUGCUGCAGAUGUACCAUUACUGUGGGCUCCAUGCUUUCCUUUUCCUUGUUGAUUUUAUUCCUUCCUUUAGCUCAGAGAGGGAGAUCAUAUUAUCCCUACAGUCAAGGAGCAGCUCACAUUACAGCACUGCCUUCAGUCUGCCAGAGAGCUGGUCUUGGUAGCACCAUGCGAACUUACUUACUCCCUUCAGCUGAUUGGAUGGGUCUGGAGAGUUUCUGCUGCCCCGGGUACUGCAGUGUGACCAGAGCCCUGGGUGUUCCAGAGUGUCAGUAGGGCCCUUGCAACUGUCUUGUUUCUUGCCCAGGUCCAGGCAUCCACUUCCGUUCUCUACUGGGUGUGGAGCCCAGCCCUGAUACUUACAUGUGUUCUCACCUCCUUUCUUCUGAGGGCUGGCUCUACUUCUGUCUGCUGGUCCAACCCCGAUGGAGUAUGAAAGUGAGAUGCUGACAGUGUCUAGUGAUGGAACUUGGACUCUGAGCCACAACAUCUUGCCCCACCUCCCCAGUUGCUGCUCUUAGAGGCUGAUGCCAAUCCUGCCUGGCCCAGCAUUAGUUCUGCAGCUGCGACUUGGUGAAUCACUGGGCCUUGCUUUUCCAGUCCUGGAAGCUGCUGGCAUGUUAAAUUAUUAUUGGUAGUAUUAUUAAUAGUAAUAAUGAUAGAAGCAGUAACAAUUAGCAUUUAUUGAUUGCUUCCUAGGUUGCAAGCUAUGGACUAAGUGUAUUACACAUAUUGUUUCAUUUAAUUCUCAGAAGAACCCUAUGAGAUAGUUUCUAUUUUUGGCAAAAUUUUCCUAAUGGGAAAACUGGGACCCAGAAGGGUUAAGCUGAGACUGAAACUCAGAGUUUUCAGGUUUAAAGUCUGUGCUCCUAAUCACUAGGACACAGUGUCUCCACCGCAAAGUGCCCAAGCCUGUCCCUGAUUGACAGCUGCUGGAAAUUCAACCUGAAAAACCACUAAUGAGUUUCUUUCAGAAGCUGCUGAACAUCAAUGGGGGAAGUAUUUCCGGGAGCCAUCUGAUUUUGCAACUUUACGCUCUGGCCUCUGAUAAGGAAAGUUGUCAAAAGUUCAUGGGCGGGCUUCCCUGGUGGCGCAGUGGUUGAGGGUCCGCCUGCCGAUGUAGGGGACGCGGGUUUCGUGCCCCGGUUCUGGAGGAUCCCGCAUGCCGCGGAGCAGCUGGGCCCGUGAGCCAUGGCCGCUGAGCCUGCGCGUCCGGAGCCUGUGCUCCGCAACGCGAGAGGCCACAACAAUGAGAGGCCCGCGUACCACACACACACACACACACACACACACACAGACACACACACACACACACACACACACACACACACACAAAAGUUCAUGGGCACACUUUUUGCAUACAGAUGACUGCUUGCAGUUUAAAUAUCCGAGAAGGGAGUUGAUACCUUCUGUCAUCCCCGAUUGGUAUGGCGAAUUAGGAAGGAAACAUGACCAGCUGAAAGUGGAAAUCAUGUCAGGCCCGGAGUGACUGUAAAAAUAACCUGAAAUAGAUGAGCGAAUGGAGCAGCGACCUGAAGCUGCCAUACGUCCACGGGAAGCAGGAGGUGUGAUGCCAUCACCUUCAUAGCCUGAAUAUGAAUAUUUGGUCCAAGUGCCAGAAACUUUGGCCUCUCCUAGUAUGUGAUAUCCCUGGCAUACAGCAGCAUUGCCACAUGGAAAUGCUGCCAGACAAUGUAGCCUUUGCAGAAAAUACCAUUUUAGGGUAGUUUCUAUAGCAUUAAUUGUGAUUGCUUUGCAUUUUUAUUACAUUUGUCCUUAAGUAUGUUUAAAGAGUUUUCAAAGUUGUUUUUUUUUUUUUUUUUUUUUUUUUUUUUUUUUGUGGUACGCAGGCCUCUCACUGUUGUGGCCUCUCCCGUUGCGGAGCACAGGCUCCGGACGUGCAGGCUCAGUGGCCAUGGCUCACGGGCCCAGCCGCUCCACGGCAUGUGGGAUCUUCCCGGACCAGGGCACGAACCCGUGUCCCCUGCAUCGGCAGGCGGACUGUCAACAACUGCUCCAGCAGGGAAGCCCCGAAGUUAUUUCUUAAGUGCCAGUAAUCAUCUGAGGGAUCUUUCGGUGCUUUGUUUAUGGCAUCUUCUGGUCCCUAGCUUUGGAAGGAACACCAGAGCUUGUCUGGACAUGAGCUGAGUGCUUCCAAGGUCACUGGAUUCUCUGGCUGGGUUCUUUGAUGGUAAGCAGCAGAAACGGACUCUGACUAACUUAAGCAGGAAAGAAUGGGCGUUUAUAAGAAAGCAUGUGCUAGUUUACACAAGGAAUAGCUGAAGAACCAGACGGGACAGGAAGUAGGAAAUCUCCAGAAAUCUAGGUGUCAAGAGCUAGUGCUCUGUCUUUUCAAACUGCUCAUUGUCAGGAUGAAACCAUUUAUUUUUCCUCUUGAGUCAUACAGUCAAAAUUCCUGGGGUGGAGAGCAAACUCUCCUUGCUGUAGUCAAGAGCCCACUCUUGGGACCAAGGAGGGGAAACACCUUGACUGACUGAUAAUUCUGUUAUGGUAGCUUGAUUGUCACAAUGGCCCCAAUUAUUCCCCUCCCUUUACCCAUGCCCCUUGUAAUGUGACUACAGCUUUUUCCGUCAAGGGGAGGUGAUUGUUUCUUCACCCUUGAACCUGGCUGGCCUGGGGACUUGCUUUAGCCAACAGUAGGUGGCAUGCCAUUUCUGAGGCUGGGCCUCGGGGUGCUCAUAAGCUUCUGCUUUUUUCCUUGGGAAACUGUCAAGCCAUGAGAACAAAUCCAGACCAGCAUGAUGGGGGAUGAGAGGCCAUGUGGAGGGGAGAUGAGCUGUCCCAGCUGAGUCAUCUUAGCCAGUGUAUCCAUUAUCUAUCACUGUGCCUCAGACUACUCCCCAAACUCAGUAGCUCAACUCAACAAUCCCCAUUUAUUACCUCACGCAGUUUCUGAAGGUCAGGAAUCCAGUUGCAGCUUAGAUGGGGCAUUCUGGCUUGGGGUCUCUCAUGAGGUUUUUGGACAAAUGUUGGCUGGGCCUGUGGUCAUCUGAGGCUGGAAGAUUCUCUUCCAAGGUGACUUCCUUACAUGGCUGGCAAGUUGGCAUUGCUUGUGGCUGGAGGCCUCCGUUACUCCUCACAGGGGCCCCUCUCCACAGGCUGCUUGUGUCCUAACAAUAAGAUGCCCCCCAGCCCCACCCCCACUGAGCAAGCAAUCCAGGAGAGCAAGUUGGAAGCAGCAAUGCCUUUUGUGCUCGCCU